ensembl:lncRNA
AUGAGCAACGUCAAAAUGAGUCCCGUGUUCAAGAGUCACGCAGCGGCAGCGCAGAAGGAGCGUCUCCCGCCCGAAGGCGCUGGCUCUUCAGCAUAUGAUUCUCAUGCAGCACCUUGGACAGGGUUCGCAAGCUCCUUCCCGACACCCCUCACUAACUCUCUCCUACGGUCAAAAUGGUCCAAAGAAUCGCUAAACGGUUACCCCCCUGAAUACAACUCCACCAAGUCCACCGGGACGAAAAGAGAAACGUUAUUCGACACAGGACAUUUGUGCAAAAAGUGCAUCUCUCAUUUCAACGUCUUCAAAAGGGAAGCGUUAAAACAAGUAGCUGACGAAAAUCUUUCUACUAAAGAUCCCAAAGUCUUCAUUCAUCUUUAUGAGAGCAUGAAACCACCUGCUAGUACUGUAGAAGCCUGGGGCAACGCGGACGGACGCUGUGGCGUCUGCUUCACUCACUUUAGCCAGCUGAAGCAGGAGGCUAUCCGCACGAUCCUCACCCAGGACCGGGCCAUAUGGGCUCCACCUACCACUGCCAACAUCGCAUCCACAAGCCUAGACUCAGGCUCACAAACACUCCCCAGAACCUCAAGCCACCGAUCUGUUGUCUCAGACCCCCAUCAGAGGAAAAGCAAUGCAGCACCAGAUUACUGGAUUAAAGGACGUCAGCACUUGGAGGCCCUGUGGCCCCUGUCCUCAUGCAAAGGAAACAAUUCAAUGUCUCAAAAGUCCUCCCAGAGUCCUUCGCAUGCAGGGAAGGUGAAUGAAAAGGAGAAUGUAACCUCUACAGCACUAUGCAACUACGGCGCCACACAGCCGACGCGUUCUUCCAGUAUGUCCUCUCUGCUCCCUGCAGGAACAUCUGCUGCAUUGUCUUUCUUUGUCAGGUAAGAGGUGCUGACCAGAAAAUAAAAAAGAACUAAAAUAACUAAAGGUUUGUGUU